GGUGAUAUCAUAUUGAAACACCAAUUCCCAUAUGAUCACUGAAUUUAAGCAAUGUUAGUAUUUGGUUAGUACCUAGAUGGGUGACCACUUGGGAAUACCAGUUGCUGUAAG